AAGGUGUAAAAACGUUGGCACCCCCCCCUGUACCGGGGGGUACUUCCGGAACCUUUGCUAAACCCCCUUUGAUCUUGUCUGCCUGCAUUCGCUUUAAAGUUCAAAUGCUUCUAAUACCCGACGGGCCCUCCCUUUUUUAGCUUAUUUAUUGGGUAAACGCUCUAACCAGGCGGCGUUACCAUCGCUACUAAACGGGUUUUUUGGCCCCCCUUCGGAUUAGCCACCGCCACCGACUCCCCCGGGGGGCAGCCGUAGGGGAAUCUUUGGCCAAGGACGGAAGUCUGUCCCAGCAACCCCGCUUGAGUGAAGAAGGUCUUUGGAUCGUAAAACUUUGUUGUAAGAGAAGAACGAGUGUGAGAGUGGAAAGUUCACACUGCGACCGUAUCUUACCAGAAAGGGACGGCUAACUACGUGCCAGCAGCCGCGGUAAUACGUAGGUGGCAAGCGUUAUCCGGAUUUAUUGGGCGUAAAGAGAGUGCAGGCGGUUUUCUAAGUCUGAUGUGAAAGCCUUCGGCUUAACCGGAGAAGUGCAUCGGAAACUGGAUAACUUGAGUGCAGAAGAGGGUAGUGGAACUCCAUGUGUAGCGGUGGAAUGCGUAGAUAUAUGGAAGAACACCAGUGGCGAGGGCGGCUACCUGGUCUGCAACUGACGCUGAGACUCGAAAGCAUGGGUAGCGAACAGG
rnacentral:rRNA from 1 species